CGCCCCCGCACCGCAGCUCCCGUCGCCACCUCGCGUCCCGCUAUCCCCGCGCACGCCGCCUCCGGCCCUGAGUCCCGGCCGCACCCGGCGCCGCUCACCUGCUUCUGGAUGUCCCGCACGCGCUGCUCGUGCAGGCGCGGAGCGCUGCUGAGCUUGAACACCACCCAGGCGCGCACGUAGUAGUAGAUAUCGAAGAUAAGCGAGAGCGGCAGGAGGAAGAGGCACACGAACACCCAGCGCUGGUGGAUGAGCACGAACUCCAGCCCCUUCAGGCGCACCCACAGCAGGAAGAGCAGCGCGCACACGGCCAGCGACACGGCGGGCUCCAUGGUGCGGCGCCGCGCGGGGGCACUUUCCACGAAUUCAUUUGAGCUACACAGCAGUCCUGGGCAGUGGGGAGUGGUGAGCUCCAUUGUGUACACUUGGAAGCAGCCCAGAAAGGUGAAGACCUGUUCGUGAACUCCAGAGGCCAUUGGAAGCAUGGAAGGCUAUGGCUGGCACUCUUCCUCUUUUUCCAGUUCACUGAGGCAGAUGGGAGGCCCGGAGGAGAAAGAAUGAAGGAAGGCAUUUCAGCCCGAGUAAACUCCCCAGGCCCGCUCUGUGCCAGGCAGUGUUGCAAGCCUCGGGUAGGGUGGUGAGCAAAGCAGAUGGCCCUGCCCUCACUCAGCAACCAGUGUAGGGGAGCUGCCACGGUUACCAGCAAAAGCUGAAAUCCAGCGCCAUUUGCAUUUCAUAUGGAAUUUUAGGAAGUUUUCGAGAUGUUUUAGUUUAGAAGCUAAACAUGACAUACCAGGUUCUUCUCUGUCUGGCCUUGCAUACCUAUCCAGUUCCCUCUCCAUUCAUCUCUGCCCUGACAUGCACUCAGGAGGCUCCCUGGGCCUCAGCAUUCCUCAUUUGCGCGCCUCUGGUCAAGCUAGUACCUCUGAAUGCCCUUUCCCAUCCCCUUCUCAGAGUUCACCUCACACAUUCCGAAGCCAGCUCAGGGCCACCUCUGAAACAUUUAGAGCACUCCCCUGCCCAUCCAGAUGCUCAUUAAAUAGUGUGCAUCUCUGUCACCGUUCUUUCAUGUUAUUUUAUAAUUGUCUCUUUAUGUGUCUCUCACCCCCACAGACUGAGCCUUAGGGCAAACAAUGUCUUGUUCACUUUUGUCCUUCCAGCUUCUAGCACGGUGCUUUGUGCACAGUAAACACUCCAGCGGCUGUUGACCAAUGAAUGAAUGAAGAUUGUAGGCUCAAAUAUUCAAGUUAUCAAAGUGCAAAGAAUGAGAGGUUGUUUGCACUGGACUUCAAAAAUAAAUAGCCUGGACCUGUACUGUCUUACACAACAGCUAUGAGCUACUGGUAUGUGGCUAGUCCAAACUGAAAUGCCCUUUAAGAGUAAAACACACACUGGAUUUCAAAGACUUAGUACAAAGAAAAAAUGCAAAAUAGCUCAUUAGUAAUUUUUAUGUUAAUGACAUGUUGAAAUAACAUUUUGAUAUAUUAAGUAAAAUAUAGUAUUAGAAUUAAUUUCACCUGUUUUAUUUACUUUUUUAAGGUGGCUACUAGAAAAUUUAAAAUUACAGAUUUGUCUUGUAUUACAUCUCUAGAAGCUCCAACCAACAGGGGGACAGUGAAGUAUGAAGAGGAAAGCCAAUGUGAAAAAUGCCUCUCCCCGAUUCUGUCUGACUCUGUUAAAGAGGGCUUUGCUUUAGAAGCUUAACCAUUCUGAUUAUUUUGGGGGUGUGAGGUAAUCUGGAAAGUAAAAUUUACCUAAAAAUUAACUGAAGAGUGUUGUGUAGGAGAAACAGUGGAAAUUACUGGUUAAUCAGAAUAGUUUUAUACUUGGGAAGAGAAGGAUGGAGUCCCAGAAAGUAGAUACAACUGAUCUUUAGGAAACAACUCCCAAAAAAGGAAAGGAAUAAAAAAGUACUCAGGCUGGGUGUGGUGGUUCAUGCCUGUAAUCUCAGCACUUUGAGAGGCCAAGAGGGGCAGAUUGCUUGAGCCCAAGAAUUCAAGACAAGCCUGGGCAACAUAGCAAGACCCUGUCUCUAAAAAAAAAAAAAAAAGAAUAAAAAAAAAAGCUGGGCAUUGUGGCAUGCACUUGUAGUCUCAACUACUCAGGAGGUUGAGGUGGGAGGACCGAUCACUUGAGCCUGGGAGGUCAAGGCUGCAGUGAGCCAUGAUCACGCCACUGCAUACUAGUGUUAGCAACAGGCUGUCUCAACAACAAAAAAGUGAAAAAGUACUCAGAACAAUUGUUUAUUCAGUGUGCACGUUUCUCAUUCUCUCUUCCUGCCUACCCUCCUCAUAUUUCUGAUUCUUCUUUUCUGUCUCCCCAAACUCUAAUCCUUUGGGUUGCUUUUAUCCAGGUAAGGAAAGCAGUCACUUGAGUUGAG
rnacentral:lncRNA from 10 species